CCGUAACUAUAACGGUCCUAAGGUAGCGAAAUUCCUUGUCGGGUAAGUUCCGACCUGCACGAAUGGUGUAAUGAUUUGAGCGCUGUCUUGACGGGAGGCCUGGUGAAAUUGUAUUACCGGUGAAGAUACCGGUUACCUACAGUAGGACGGAAAGACCCCAUGGAGCUUUACUGUAGCUUGGUAUUGGGUUUUGGCAUUGCAUGUAUAGGAUAGUUGGGAGACUAUGAAGGUAUGGCGCUAGCUGUAUCGGAGUCAUCGGUGGAAUACCAACCAUUCAAUGCUGAAAUUCUAAUCUGUGGUUUGUAGCCACGGAGACAGUGCUAGGUGGGCAGUUUGACUGGGGCGGUCGCCUCCGAAAGAGUAACGGAGGCGUUCAAAGGUUCUCUCAGGUUGGAUGGAAAUCAACCAUAGAGUGCAAUGGCAUAAGAGAGCUUGACUGCAAGACUGACGGGUCGAGCAGAUGCGAAAGCAGGACAUAGUGAUCCGGCGAUUCCGAAUGGAAGGGUCGUCGCUCAACGGAUAAAAGCUACCCUGGGGAUAACAGGCUGAUCCUACCCGAGAGUCCAUAUCGACGGUAGGGUUUGGCACCUCGAUGUCGGCUCAUCGCAUCCUGGGGCUGGAGAAGGUCCCAAGGGUUGGGCUGUUCGCCCAUUAAAGCGGUACGUGAGCUGGGUUCAGAACGUCGUGAGACAGUUCGGUCCCUAUCCACUGUAGGCGUUAGAAUAUUGAGAAGACCUGUCCUUAGUACGAGAGGACCGGGAUGGACAAACCUCUGAUGUACCAGUUGUCACGCCAGUGGCACAGCUGGGUAGUCACGUUUGGAAUAGAUAACCGCUGAAAGCAUCUAAGCGGGAAACUAACUUCAAGAUAAGUAUUCUUUAAGAUACCUUCGAGCCUAGGAGGUUGAUAGGUUGGGGGUGUAAGUGCAGCAAUGCAUUUAGCUGACCAAUACUAAUUAUCGAAGUUUUAAUCUA
rnacentral:rRNA from 1 species